UACGUAGGGGGCAAGCGUUGUCCGGAAUCAUUGGGCGUAAAGCGCGUGUAGGCGGCCCGGUAAGUCCGCUGUGAAAGUCGGGGGCUCAACCCUCGAAUGCCGGUGGAUACUGUCGGGCUAGAGUGCGGGAGAGGCGAGUGGAAUUCCCGGUGUAGCGGUGAAAUGCGCAGAUAUCGGGAGGAACACCAAUGGCGAAGGCAGCUCGCUGGGACGGUACUGACGCUGAGGCGCGAAAGCGUGGGGAGCAAACAGG
rnacentral:rRNA from 1 species